GACGUAGGGCGCGAGCGUUGUCCGGAUUUAUUGGGCGUAAAGAGCUCGUAGGCGGCUCGUUGCGUCAAUCGUGAAAACCUACUGCUUAACGGUGGGCUUGCGGUUGAUACGGGCGGGCUGGAGUUCGGUAGGGGAGACUGGAAUUCCUGGUGUAGCGGUGAAGUGCGCAGACUAUCAGGAGGAACACCGGUGGGCGAAGGCGG
rnacentral:rRNA from 1 species